UCCUACGGGAGGCAGCAGUGGGGAAUAUUGGGCAAUGGGCGAAAGCCUGAUCCAGCAAUGCCGCGUGAGUGAUGAAGGCCUUAGGGUUGUAAAGCUCUUUUACCAGGGAUGAUAAUGACAGUACCUGGAGAAUAAGCUCCGGCUAACUCCGUGCCAGCAGCCGCGGUAAUACGGAGGGAGCUAGCGUUGUUCGGAAUUACUGGGCGUAAAGCGUGCGUAGGCGGUUAUUCAAGUCAGAGGUGAAAGCCCGGGGCUCAACCCCGGAACUGCCUUUGAAACUAGAUAGCUAGAAUCUUGGAGAGGUCAGUGGAAUUCCGAGUGUAGAGGUGAAAUUCGUAGAUAUUCGGAAGGACACCAGUGGCGAAGGCGACUGACUGGACAAGCAUUGACGCUGAGGCACGAAAGCGUGGGGAGCAAACAGGAUUAGAUACCCUGGUAGUCCACGCCGUAAACGAUGAUAACUAGCUGUCCGGACACUUGGUGUUUGGGUGGCGCAGCUAACGCAUUAAGUUAUCCGCCUGGGGAGUACGGUCGCAAGAUUAAAACUCAAAGGAAUUGACGGA
rnacentral:rRNA from 1 species